rnacentral:tRNA from 1 species
AAAGAAAUAGAAAUGGAUGAAAAAUUGAAAAUUCAGCUUCCCAAGCUGAGGGUCGCGGGUUCGAGUCCCGUUUUC